AUGGAGCCUCGCCCCGCGGCUGCAGCCGGAGGAGGAGGAGAAGGGGAGGCCGGCCGUGGCGCGGACCCCGACACCGGCCUCGAAGGGUCGAUGUGGAGGAUGGGGCUGGCCGGCGACGGCGGCGGGGAGGGGGACGGGGCGCGCCUGCCGGAGCGGCCGGACCAGGCGGACUGCAUCUACUACCUCCGGACGGGCGCCUGCGGCUUCGGGGACCGCUGCCGCUACAACCACCCCCGCGAUCGCGGCGGCACUGAGUUUGGUGGAGGUGCAAAGAAUGCAGUAGCAUUGGACUACCCGGAGCGGUUGGGUCAACCAGUAUGUGAGUAUUACAUGAAGACUGGGACUUGCAAAUUUGGUUCCAAUUGCAAAUAUCACCAUCCUAAGCAAGAUGGUUCUGUGCAGCCUGUAAUGUUAAACAGUAAUGGAUUCCCUCUACGUCCGGGUGAGAAAGAGUGCUCCUACUACAUGAAGACUGGACAAUGCAAGUUUGGUUCGACAUGUAAAUUUCAUCAUCCAGAAUUUGGUGGUGUUCCAGUUACUCCUGGAAUUUAUCCACCAUUGCAGUCGUCAACUGUACCUUCGCCUCAUCCAUACGCUCCUCUUACAAAUUGGCAAAUGGGGAGGCCGCCUGUAGUCCCUGGAUCAUAUAUGCCAGGCUCGUACACUCCAAUGAUGCUAUCGUCUGGAAUGAUCCCCUUGCAAGGAUGGAGCCCUUAUCCGGCUUCAGUAAACCCUGUAGCAUCAGGUGGAGCACAACAAACUGUUCAAGCUGGACCUAUGUAUGGCAUAGGGCACCAUGGAUCUUCCUCUACAAUUGCUUAUGGUGGUCCUUACAUGCCUUACUCUUCCUCAACUAUACAAUCAAGCAAUAAUCAACAAGAACAUGGAUUCCCUGAGCGGCCAGGGCAGCCUGAGUGUCAGUAUUACAUGAGGACAGGAGAUUGUAAAUUUGGCGCUACAUGUAAAUAUCAUCAUCCUCGAGAUUGGAGUUCACCCAAGUCUAAUUAUAUGUUCAGCCCUUUUUGCCUUCCACUUCGUCCAGGUGCUCAGCCUUGUUCAUACUAUGCCCAAAAUGGGUAUUGUAGAUAUGGAGUUGCAUGCAAGUAUGAUCACCCGAUGGGUACGCUUGGCUACAGUUCAUCUCCCUUUCCCCUGUCUGACAUGCCAAUUGCUCCCUAUCCUCUUGGCUUCUCUAUUGCCACAUUGGCUCCAUCUUCAUCUUCCCAAGAUCUAAGGCCAGAAUAUAUUUCAGCUAAAGACCCAUCAGUCAACCAAGUAGGAUCGCCAGUGACAGCAUCUGAGCCUUCUGGAUCAAUUUUACCAAAAGGGGUUUUCCCGCCAGACACGGUGAUGCGUGCUCAGACUAAUACGACAACUGGUGGUAGUUCAAGCCCUGGUGGUGGUCGCUGA
rnacentral:rRNA from 1 species